UUUCCGUAGGUGAACCUGCGGAAGGAUCAUUAGUGAAUUGAAUAUGUUAGCGGACCUCUUCGGAGUCCCUAGCAUCAAAUCAUAUCCAUAACACCUGUGAACUGUAAGGCUGUCUUGAAAACGAAAGUGAUUAGAGCGCCUGCCCAUUUUAUACAAACAUUAAAGUAACAAACGUAGUCUUAUUAUGAUCUAUAAAACUUUCAACAACGGAUCUCUUGGCUCUC
rnacentral:misc_RNA from 1 species